UAUUCCACAUUUACUUUCAUUUCAGAUUUUACGAUCUUUUUCUCCUUAUACGAUGAUUUUUUACUAAGAAAAAAAGACUAUUUUAACUAGAAAUUAACUUUAUGAUAUAAAUCAAAGUAGGGUUUUAAAUGGACAUGAUACGAGUAUGUUCUCCCAUCCGUUUCUUGCUCGUUCGACCGGCUACAGUAUAUUAUGUAUGUACUACAGUACACGUUCAUAGGAUACCUGAUCUGCGUAUUUCGAUACUUUAAGGUCGGCCGCAAAUAGAAAUUUCACUAUUUGCAUUCAAUACGAAAUUACUUUAAAAUAACUAUGGAAAAAGUGUGACUGUAUAAUUAACGAUUAGACGAGAGUAAUGAUUAUCAUUAUUCGAUACGAACGAAACAAAUGUGUAAUCUUGCAUGUAUCGCGAUUCUAUUUAAUAAUCACAUUUUUUCUACUACACUAAACGAAUAUCACGACACAAUACUUGGAUGUAUAAAAGAAAUAUAGCUUUCAUGUAUUGGAAUUUCGUGACGAUCGAGUUCGUUCGGUUUUUCCUUGAGAGAGAGUCGGAAAACCAGAGCUUUAUCUUUAUUAGUAAUUUGGCAUUGCCAUCUUUUAUAACCAAUCAUGCGAGGAGAUUCCAAUUUGACAUAAUAAAUUUGAUAUAUCUUUUCAGUAAUAGGGCAGUUUGGAAGUGAAUUCGCCAGUGUUUGUGACAUUUUAUGUUAAGUACAUCUUAUACUUUUGAAGUCUGUUAAUUUAAGAAGAAUAAGAUUAGUAAUGUUUUUUUAUAUGUAUGAAAAGUAAAAAGGACAAUUAAAAAGCGUUCGAUAUGUUUUACACGAUUUCCUGCUUUCCUUUCGUUCCGAAUUGUCUUGCGCUACAUUCUUAAUGCCAGGAGUUAUGUCGAAGAGACUGUGGUUCAUGAUUCGCUGCAUUCCCCGACAUAACGGGUCAUACGGAAGAAAACUCGUUUCAAUAUUUUCAAAAAUAUCUCUUAAAUUGUUAUCUACUGAUUUAAAUACGAUUAACGAAAAAAAAUCUAGAAAGACAAAUCUAAUUUGUAAAUCUAAUAUCGUAAUGAAUGUUACAUCACUUAUGCAAUAAUAAUUUGGAAUUAAUUAUACGUAAUGUAAGAAUAUAUAAUUUGGCACGAAAGCAAUGAUGUUAUAUAAACACAGUAUCGUAAUUUCCAUCCUAUAAACGCAAUAAAUUCUUCUGUAGCGAUGUAAUUAAUACAUAAUUGAAAUUUUCAUGGUUAGUACAUAUUCUAACCGAGCGUUACGGUAAUUUGCGCAUCACUUGCAUUUAGAGAUUGUACUUGUGUAUAUAGAUACAUUGGAUAUUAUUCAUUGUGCUUAGUUAAUAAAUGAAAGGAAAAAAUUCAAGAAAGAAAGGAAAUGAUGACGUUGUAUAUAUGUCAGUGGAACAUCACGUGGAUGCGUGAAAUCGCAAGUCAAUGACCUGAUCAAUAACCUGUUGACUCGAACAGUAUAUGUAUGUGUAUGCAUAAACGUACUCGAAAAAAGUGAAAUAAUAAAUAUAGAAAGCUAUGAAUCACUUUUACUAUUAGAAGAUUGAUACAUUAAGGCAGUUUGAGAAGAACAUCGUUCACUCAGGAAAUGGAAAUAACAUUAUCAUUGCCUAAAAGAUCUUCGUCAAAUAUUUUAAACUUGGAAAUGUUUAAAAUUUUAUUUUAUAUUAUUACGCUAUAUUAUCUUUAAAGAUUUUCUAUUACAUUCAGUUUAAUUCGCUGAAUUAUUAUAUUGUAGGAAUGCAACGGAUUUUUAUUGUAUAAAUAUCGAAUAAAAAGUGACUUACCAGGGACUACUUCGCCAUUGAAUGUCAUUUCCACAAGGUGUACAACAGCUUCAUGGGGUACAAAUGAUGCCAGGAAUCGUUGACUACCUAAUGCUCUGACAAAGCUAGUUACGUGACCACCAUUCACGAGGAUCUCUAGAUUUCCAGAUCCAGCAUUAGAUCCGUCAACUAUAAAUUUGGAAGAUACAGGACAAUACAGAUAAAUUUGCAUUAAUACCCUUUAUUUUGUAUAAUAUAUGUUUUUAAAUACAUACUUUCAAAUUCUACUGGCUGAUUAACAAUGCCAUUCGGAAUGUUCCCAAUCUGAAUACCACGUGCAUUGUAUGCUUGCGAUCUGAGUUAAUAAAGGAUUUAAUUUUUUA